UGCGGGGCUCGAACUCACGGAUCGGGAGAUCGUGACCUGGCUGAAGUCGGACGCUCAACCGACUGCGCCACCCAGGCGCCCCUCCAUGCUUCCUUUUAAUACCAACGAAAUGCCACCUGCAGAUCACAGAUGAAUUAGACGGAGAAGCCAGUAACUUUGUGGUUGGGAGGUAGUAGGUGGAUGUUUGUGUACCAGAGGCAGUAGGUUUUCCCUUUCAUCCCAGUUUGUACAGAAACAUUCUGGCUUCCCUGGAAGCGUGUUUGGGUGGAACAAGCCCAUGUUUGCUUCUUAUCCUGAUCAUUAUGCAGCAGCACUGUUCCCCUGAUCUCAGAUUCACUUUCAAUAUUUCUUGGCCACUGGGCACAUUAUUUGACAUUUAUUUACACUUAAUCUGCAUUUUCCAUCUUCUAAGCCCACAUAUAACACAUAAUAAUGUAAAUCCUUGACUGCCGCUUGGCAUUUGGGUACCUUAUUAUUAACUGUGCUGUGCCCCUCCCCCUUCCCGUUUAAUGUAAUCUGCAAAUCUUGUUCUCAGUACCGAGUCAUUUGUAUACAUAAUUAAAAUCUGCAAUCCCUCCCAACACUGAUCCCUGUCAUAUGUCUUACUAGUAAUUUCUUUCCCAGACAGUGAAUAGUUUGCUUUUAUUUAUUUAUUUCCCUCUUUGGAAGGAGAUGGGGCAGAGCAAACUCAGCAGUGUUCCUGAAGCCUCACCAUUUUCUUUCAGGUUCUAAAGAAUCAUAGCAUCCUCAGCAUUUACUCAUUUGCUGAGCGAUUUCUGACCUGUUUCUUUUUAAUGAAAAGAAGUUCUGACCAGUGAUUGCAGUAAACACGUAUUAACGACACACUUGUGUCAGGGAACUAUUUCUCCCAUUUGGAGGCUUUACAAUUGGAGUUCUUAUUAGCUACAGCAUGGGAAUGCCUACAGUCCAGUUUUAAGCAUUCAGAAAUGGACAAUGGUUUGGAAUAGUGAAGCAGUGAGCAGGAGGAAAUCUGUAUCCUUGAAUGACCAUCUGGAGCGGAGCCACCCUGCAGACCAGGCCUCCUCAUCAUUGUAUGAGAGGAGAUUCGGAUCCAGGCACACAUACAGAAUAUCAUGUGAGCAUGAAGAUGACCAUCUACAAGUUUAGGCAAGAGUCCAGGGAACAGAUCCCUCCCUCAGAGCCUUUGGUUGGAACCAAGCCUUACAACACCUUGAUCUAGGACUUCCAGACUCCAGAAAAACUCACCUGGUCCCAUGCUAUGUUAUGCUGCCCAGAUACCAACAACUCAUUGCCAGGCCCUCUGAAACCUCCCAGAUGCCAGCCCAUCUUCGAGGACUUCUGCCUACUUCUGGCGUUUAGACUCUGAGAAACUUCCAUUGGCAGGCAACACUUCCUCGAGUCCGCUCCCAUGGCUUUCCCACAAGAUGCCCCGGAAGAUCCAUCUAGUUGCCAUGGUUACAGGUCGAUACAUCAGCAGGCAACCCCCAAAAGAGACCACGUCUGUCAGUAUCAUGUGACCCGAGACAUGAAGGAUGUGAGGUCCGCAGGAAUCCUUAUCAUGCAUGGAACGCUGUACCCAGGACGCUAACCCCCAAGCGAUGCUUGUCUUCACCUCGUGGAUAAGGACUCUGAAAUUCAGAGCGAAUAAAUGAGGAUGAAUUCUACACUUGAUCUUAGCCAAAAGACCGAGCAGCGAUCAGGAUAAAUUCUGUAAUUGAAGAGCCUUCAUGAGCCCCUCCACGGUGUAAUUGUAAUGGUGAUGAUCUGGCAUGAUGCUCCAGCUCUAUCUGAACAAAGUGGCUCCUUUCACUUCAGCAACCCAAGAUUGUGGAAGGUACUCAACGGGACACUGAAACUUUUCAAGAUGUGAUGGUGAUUUCUCUUACUGUUCAUUUGCAUGUUGAAGUCUUGUUAUUUUCCCUGUUCUGAUUCCAAGCAUGGUCCUUCACCAUUAUCUUCAAAUGUUAGUUGCUUAUACAGAGAUUUUCCCAGGGAUCUUAGGGCUGACAAUUUCUUUGUAUGAGCAAUUGAUUAUUCACUGUGUUUGAAUGACAAUGGAGACAUUAAGAAAAAAAAAACACCCUAAUAUAUAUUGAAUGUCAAUGCCAUGAAAAACCCUUUGGUUUUUUAUAAGCAUUGUCUUGGUCAGUUAUCAAAAAUCUCACAAAAUACUGAUGAGGUAGGUAUGAUUUCAAUUUUAAAAUUGAGGAAAUUGUGACUCGGUGAUAUUAAGGGGACUUGACCAAACUCAAGAAUAACAUAGGCAGCAGUAUCUAUUUAUUUAUUUAUUUGUUUGUUUGUUUUUAAUGUUUAUUUUAUUUUUGAGAGAGAGAAAGAUACAGAGAGAGAGACAGAGAGACA